GUUCCUACGGGGGGCAGCAGAGGGGAAUAUUGGGCAAUGGGCGCAAGCCUGACCCAGCAACGCCGCGUGAAGGAAGAAGGCUUUCGGGUUGUAAACUUCUUUUAUGAGGGACGAAACAAAUGACGGUACCUCAUGAAUAAGCCACGGCUAACUACGUGCCAGCAGCCGCGGUAAUACGUAGGUGGCAAGCGUUAUCCGGAUUUACUAGGUGUAAAGGGCGUGUAGGCGGGACUGCAAGUCAGAUGGGAAAAUUAUGGGCUCAACCCAUAACCUGCAUUUGAAACUGUUCUUCU
rnacentral:rRNA from 1 species